rnacentral:rRNA from 1 species
UACGGAGGGUGCAAGCGUUAAUCGGAUUUAUUGGGCGUAAAGGGCGCGUAGGCGGGAAAGGAAGUCAGAUGUGAAAUUCCGGGGCUCAACCCCGGAACUGCAUAUGAAACUCUUUUUCUAGAGGGUAGGCGGAGAAAACGGAAUUCCACAAGUAGCGGUGAAAUGCUUAGAUAUGUGGAAGAACACCGGUGGCGAAGGCGGUUUUCUAGCUUAUUCCUGACGCUGAGGCGCGAAAGCAAGGGGAGCAAACAGG